UACGUAGGGUGCGAGCGUUAAUCGGAAUUACUGGGCGUAAAGCGUGCGCAGGCGGUUCGUUAAGUCAGAUGUGAAAGCCCCGGGCUCAACCUGGGAACUGCAUUUGAAACUGGCGGGCUUGAGUAUGGCAGAGGGGGGUGGAAUUCCGCGUGUAGCAGUGAAAUGCGUAGAGAUGCGGAGGAACACCGAUGGCGAAGGCAGCCCCCUGGGCUAACACUGACGCUCAGGCACGAAAGCGUGGGGAGCGAACAGG
rnacentral:rRNA from 1 species